ACGGCCUUGGCGCGCGGCCAAUGCUUUCUCCCUACCGCGGGGUGUGCCCACCUGCGCGCGGCCAGCGGAGGCAUAGACAGCGUUGCCAGACCUCUUUUUGCACGCUAAAUGUUAGCGGAGUACUCGUUUUUGAGGGCAACAAUGCGGAUCUCUAUGGCAACGUAAGUGAGAACGCCUCGGGCGUGGCGUUCGUCUGCUCUCAUGGCCUCCGCAUUGCUCGCCGAGCAGGAAAUAUGUCCACUUGGGGCGAGCGAAGACGACGACGAUUUAGGGCAUCUACUGAUUGCGGAACAAGAUUUGUUUCGUGAGCAUCUGCCUCACUUGGGCACCACGACUUGCUUCUGUAAUUCUUCGACUAUGUUCUCUUAAUCUGAUGCCAGCAUACUUUUGCAGGAUCACUUUCGCCAGUGAAAUUAUGUGAUCAGGCUCCUCUGCAUAGUGCUGGCACAGUGGUAGCUUGUCACCGUGUGUUAGGAUGAAGUGAUUAAACGAUUUCAAAACGAUCACCCGCACUACAAGCUUCACAGACCUCAAUUUCUCGAGACGAAAGGUCUGCUGAGCGCAACACAGCAGACGUGUAACAAAGGAGGAUGGUUUAACCAGCCCUCCAUUGUCCCUGAGCAUGAUGAGAACACUUGAUGUCUCGUCAUCUAGGAGUGUGUCCAAACAACCAUUACAGGUGAGUUUUGAGGAGACAAUUCUAACAACAUAUCCUCCAAUAUAGGCAACAAUAUCCUCGCUGAACCUGCUGAGUCUGGAUGAUUCCCCGUAGUCAUGGUCAGCACACUGUAGAAGGGCACAGAUGUUGUCCUCUGCAGGAACUUCUGCAGUGGGAGUCUCCUCACCUGCACUUUCCUCCCUUCGCGGCUUGCCCUGGUGACCGAGUGUCUCUAUGCCUUCCACUGUAGGCGCGACAUUCGCAGAGCUUGGGGCCUGAACUUCAGCGUGUAUCAGAAGCUUCCUGUAGGCAUGACGGAAUUGGGAAGCUGAUGGGUUGUUAUUCCAUCCUCCUCUUUGCCUGAUGCAGCUGAAGAACAGUUCCAAGUGGUCCUGGCUGAGGCGACCUCUACAUGUUACCUGCAUGCGCCCGCCUGGAACAGCGCUUCUGCCAGCUGUGCAACACUUUUUAGCGUAAAGGCCACGCUGAUGACUGACAUGCGUCUCCCAUGCUGAGCAGCUAGCUCCCCGGAUGGAAGUCGCAGUGUCAUCAUUCUUGACGACAAUCUUUAGUGGCCACAGUCAUGAAAAUGAAAGGCCUACUCGUCUACGUCGGCAAUGAACGAAGCGGUUGCGUCACUUCCUUCAAAUUCGGUCAAUCCCAGGAGCCGUGCGUGGGUCAGGGCUUUGCUCACGGAUGAACUUAGAGUCUGCGCUGCAAGGCGGACCUUCAUGAUCUGGCGGCCAAACUCAAUAUGGGAUCUGGUGGUCUAAGACUUCCUGCGUGAAGCCAGGCCAAGCACCAAUAACCUUUGACCAUUCGCGGAGUGUGUCUACAGCUGGCAUUGGGAAUAGUUUUGAGACAUAUUUGUAGGCACGAGGUGAAUAAAAGUGGAGUGUCAUUGCAAAUCUCCUAGUUUCUGGGGAAUAUCUACGGCCUGGCUUUUUCUUUCUCACGUUCUUUGCCCAUUCCUUAAGUAUCUCUUGUGGCAGUUCCCCAAAGGACUCCAGCUUUGUUUGAGCCUCCUCUGCCAACAAGUUCUUUUCCUUCAGUUCAGCAAUGAGGCUUUUUAGAUUUUUAAUUUUCUUUUCUCUCCUUUUCAGGGUCAGUUGCAGCCGUCGACGGACACCACGCAGGUACUGGUUCUUCUCUCGAAGUUGUCUCAUUCCUGUUCUUGGCGUUGUUUUGCUGUGAUAGGUGUGCUCCUUGUGACCCUUGGGUGUGAUCGGGCUGCCCUCAGUAUCUGUGUUGCUCACAGACACCUGCAAAGUUGCCUGUUGGUUAAGGACAGCAUUCCCCAAUAUUUUGCAUUUUAAAAUUACCGGUUGUCGUGUAGGCGUGGUUUCAUUGCAUGUUUCCGGUUGUUGCUGCCCUGCUCUGGGGUCAGGGGACAAAACAUCUAGAGAAAUGUCCUCAAGUCGUUGUGUUUUGGGAUCUGGGCUUUCCUGCUGACACUCCUGAAAUGGUAGUAGGAACUGUCGCUGCUCACAGGAAUUGGAAUGCAUUGUUUCGCAGUGGGCUAUAGUCACAAAAGCAAUUUGUCUGUGUUUUCAUGUU